ensembl:lncRNA
UGUUCAAGUCAAGGAGUUUGUAUCUGUGUGCAUUUACUAACCUCUUUUUAAUCUAUCCUAUUUUGUCAUACUGAAGGCUGCGUGUCCAGACCCUGCAACAUUCCUCUGCUCAUCUGUGUCAGUUGUUCCUCACUUCAAUCUUCAUUAAGACAGAGAUUAACAUUCAGCAGGGGGCAGAAUGUGACUCAUUCAGUCAGCCGUUUAUCUGGGAACAGGUAAAAAUAGAAUCUGAACAGAGACGUGUACAGUAAGUGUGUACAGUGAUGUUAUCCAAAUUGAAUGACAGUAACAUACAAAAAGUUAGGCUAAACAGUUUGUUGGAAGUAACUUGAACAUAAAUAAAUGAUAUGUUCAUGUAUGUAUGCAGGAAGCCAGACUGGCUGAAUGUGAGCAAAUGCUGGUGACCAUGGACCUUGCACUGUGGUUGAAUGACGGUAGCACUGCCGUGAAAGCUGUAGUUAACUGUUACAGCCUCUUAGCACCACUAAUCUUCCAUCAGAUCACCUGUGACUCUGUGGUGCAGGUAUGUAAAACCUUACUCAUACAAGUCUUAAUAUUCUGUGACAUAAUAGAUAGCUUUAAUAAUACACAUGUUUAUGCCUCUGUCUGUGUCAGGUGUUAAACAAAUGCCUGAUAGUUCUGGAGGUGAAUUCAGGUAUUCUCAAGCAGAAAUGGACUGGAUGCACCUCAGAGUCACUUAUGCACAUGAUAGCCUGCAUCACCUACUACCUGUCGAAGGCAUCACGUGUGCUCAGGGAGCAUCAGAUGGCUUCUGUGAUGAUGGAAUGUGGUCGCAGGCUGCUCCAGGAGGUCUAUGAUGCCCAGCUGCAGAUGGCUUCUAAGACAGAUCAUGCAGCAGUCGAGUAUGAAACAAACGUAAAUAUUCAGCUGAAGGCACUGCUUUGGAAGAACAGGCCAAGAAUCACAUCUGAAGCAGCCCUAUUAGCAGACAGUGGUAACACAUGGAAGCACGCAAAUACACACACAUUAGGACUCACUGGUUAGAAAAAAACAAAAAAACUAAUAUGUUGAAAGCAAGGUGGUUUUGAAAACAAGAUGUUUACAGUGUCUGACUUUUUAUUAUAAUUGAAUUGAAUAAUUGAACGUUUGCUGAAAAUACGCUCGCUGGAAAAAAUGCUGGCUCUUUUAUUCCAACAUUUUCGGAACAAUGAACAAUGUACAUUAUGUUUUAUAAUAUACUUACUGUAGUUGAAUAUACAUCUAUAAUAUACUUACUGUUAAUAAUACAAUAUUUUCUUAUCAUGAAAAUAUGAAAAAUACUUUGCUUAUUCAUCAAAUCUUACACUGGAUUAUAACUCAUCUCUUUAGCAAGACUGUUCCAAAUGUGAUAUUUGAUUAGAUUACUCAGCUAUCCCUUUAACGACUCUACACUAUGUCCAGCAUAAUAGACAAUCAAUGUUGUUACACAUAUAUCCAAUUAGUAUUUUUCCUGAACUCCACAUUGUACAUGACUGUCUUUUUUUCUUCAGAGAUUCCACGGCCACUGACUGGCUUUGAGGAUCCCAUCAUACUGUAUGAUGUGAUCACCAACAGCACAUUAAAGGAUGCCUAUCAAGAUGGUAAGUAAUACACACUCACAAACUUUUCUCUAUUAAUGUUUAGUCUCGUUCACUGACGCCUGUGUUCUUGUGUGUGUGUCCUUGAUAGUGAUGAAACUCAGACACAAGGCUCAUAUUAUUGAGUUUGCGGCACUCCUUCUUCAGAGAACCAUGGAAGAGGGCCAACCAGACCUUGUGUUAAAGUGGGGUCAAAGCAUAUUUAAAUUUCUUGCCAGGUGUGCUUUUACUUUAUAUAUCUCUUAUAUCUAAAAUUAAUGAUUUCAGCUUUUUUUCAUCAUCAUUUUACUUUAACACUCAAAGAAUGCAUUGCUGUCCGCUUUCUAGGAAUCAUACUUCACUUUAUCAUAGGUAGUAGCAGCCUAAGCUGAGAAAGGUUUGACAGUAUAAGAAUGGUUCUGUCUUUGUCAGGCGUGACGAGGAAAUACGACUGUCCACCAAAUAUUUGGAAGGAAACAGUCAGAGUAAAAGAAGAUGUAGUGCUCGGAUUCAAAAAGAAACUGAGCCACCUCAGGUAAAAAUACAACUAUGCAACUAAAAUAUAAUGCAAUAUUUAAUAAAAAUUCAGCAUAUUCACACUUGUUGCUAUGUCUUAACAUAUAAUAUAAAUACUUUAUCUGGAUUUUUUGUGGCAGAACAAGAACAAACCUUCUCACAAUGACACAAGAAAGAAACCAAAACAGAAAAUGCCACACAGCAUGCUUCAGAGAGUGAAAACUAAGAGGUACGCUAUGUGUUUGUGUAUGUUUAUCUUUGGAUACAUGUUGGAUCACAUUAACCACAUGUGCACUGGAACUCUUGCGUGUGUGUAGGGAUGUGAACG